CCUACGGGAGGCAGCAGUGAGGAAUAUUGGUCAAUGGACGAGAGUCUGAACCAGCCAAGUAGCGUGAAGGAUGACUGUCCUAAGGGUUGUAAACUUCUUUUAUCAGGGAAUAAAAGCGUCGACGUGUGGGCUGUUGAAUGUACCAUAAGAAAAAGCAUCGGCUAACUCCGUGCCAGCAGCCGCGGUAAUACGGAGGAUUCGAGCGUUAUCCGGAUUUAUUGGGUUUAAAGGGUGCGGAGGCCGGUCUUUAAGUGAGCCGUGAAAUGCUGUGGCUCAACCCUGCGAGUGCGGCGGAAACUGGAGGUCUCGAGUUGGAGGGAGGCAGGCGGAAUGCGCGGUGUAGCGGUGAAAUGCAUAGAUAUCGCGAAGAACCCCGAUUGCGAAGGCAGCAUGCCGGCGCCAUACUGACGCUGAGGCACGAAAGCGUGGGUAUCGAACAGGAUUAGAUACCCGAGUAGUC
rnacentral:rRNA from 1 species